UACGGAGGGUGCAAACGUUGCUCGGAAUCAUUGGGCGUAAAGCGCGUGUAGGCGGCAAGGUAUGUCGAGUGUGAAAGCCCUGGGCUUAACCCAGGAAGUGCGCUCGAAACUGCCUAGCUUGAGUACGGGAGAGGGUAGCGGAAUUCCCGGUGUAGAGGUGAAAUUCGUAGAUAUCGGGAGGAACACCAGUGGCGAAGGCGGCUACCUGGACCGAUACUGACGCUGAGACGCGAAAGCGUGGGUAGCAAACAGG
rnacentral:rRNA from 1 species